AGGGUGUAAACGCUGCAGACUUGGUGUUGGGAACCCUUCGGGGGUGCUCAGUGCCGGAGAGAAGUUGUUAAGUCUGCUACUUGGGGAGUACGUCCGCAAGGAUGAAACUUAAAGGAAUUGGCGGGGAGCACCACAACGGGUGGAGCCUGCGGUUUAAAUUUGGACUCAACGCCGGAAAUACUCACCGGAUAGGACAGACAUAUGAUAGUCGGGCGUGAAGAACUCUACUUGAUGAUCUGAGAGGUGGUGCAU
rnacentral:rRNA from 1 species